ensembl:lncRNA novel transcript
AGAGGAAGAAGAAACAUAAAUGGGGCCUGGACUUUCACUUCACAGCAAAGUAGCCCAGGAAGUUUGAGGAGACUCAGAGUCACUGUCAAGUCGUCAAGGACCUGGGUCACCCUGCAUCCCCAUCUGGGGCUCCUUCUAUAUCAGUUUUCCUGAAGCUUAGUCCAACUUCUUGAAGUGGGCCAAGAAAAGGCUGUUUCCAGAAUUGGAUAUUGCAUCUCUAAAACACAAGCUUCACUGAUGUCGUGGAGUCUAUGAGACACAAACUUUAUCUCAUAUGGUAGAAUCCGGAAUGAUCAGCCAUCGCUUCACACCCAAGGAAAGAACUGCUGUCCAGUGCCAGGCCCAGAGCUUCAUGGUUUGUGGCAAGUCUUUGGAAAGAUAACGUCUAACUUCAUUCAUUUUAGCUGAAAAUACCCCAUGGUGGCAUUUUUCUGGUCUCCCUACUAAAAAAGUUUAUAACCCGGCCUACGCCUCCUCAGAACUCUGAAAAAUGUACCUUUUCCACCUCACAAGGCUUGGUUCCACUUUCUGACAGCAAGAGAACAUUGCGAAGAGAAAUGUGAAUGGGUUUCAUCAUGAUUUCUGAUAAGACAUUGUGUUGACCUUUUGAGGUACAGCCACAGAUCAGCAGAGGUACUAAGAACAUACAUGUGGAAAAGACAAUUUCUUCGAUAGAUGAUAUUGAGAAAGCUGGAUGUCCACAUGCAGAAGGAUGAAAUUGGACCUUUAUCUCACAUCAUAGAUAAAAAUCAACUCAGAAUGGAUUAAAGACUUAAACAUAAGGUCUGAAGCUGUAAAACUAGUAGAAGGAAAUAGGAGAAAGCUUCAUAACAUUGGCCUGGGCAAUGAUUUUUAAAAUAUGACUCAAAAACCACAAGUGACCAAAGUAAAAAUAGACGAAUGGGUUGCAUCAAACUAAGCUUUUGUCCAGCAAAGGGAAAAAUUAACAGAGUAAAGAGACAA